rnacentral:tRNA from 1 species
GUUUUUAUAAUUUAAAAAAAAUAUUAGUCUUGUAAACUAAAAAUAAAUAACCUUUUAAAAACA